rnacentral:lncRNA from 1 species
AGAGCGAGGGAUGGAGACAGGCAGCUGUGGAUGCUGAAGACAGAAGGCCAAGCAACUCUGGGUUUUGAGAGUCUCUGUAGCCAGAAACACCCCUGAUAGUCAAGCAGCAUGGUCUCUGUUUUGUGCCACCUCCCUCUACCCCUUAAAUAAUCACCUCUUCCUCCUCCCAGCAUUUUUUUUUCAUAAUUAACUUUCUUACCCUAUGGAAAAUCUCACUGGUCCCCUCCUUCCUUAUGUUUGUUUAUUUAUUUAGUUAUUAAACAAAUAUUUAUUGCCAGACAUCAUGCUGGGAUUAAGUGUUGGCAUACAAUGGUGACUCAAAAGCAGAUAGAGUCCCUGCUUUCAUGGAGUUUGUAGCUGAGAGACAGAAAGAGAGAGAAAAAGAGAGAGAGAGAGAGAGAGAGAGAGAGAUAUUAAUCAAAUAACCACCAAACUGUAAAAUUACAAAUUCUCAUAGGUACUGAGGACUAGUGCCAUCUACAAGCACCCAGCUUGUCUCUUCUUUAACAAAACUUUCCUGUUGACUGUCCAUAUUAACAUGACUUGUCAUUCCAAGAAACUCUUGUCCUGGAAGCUGAAGUUGCAAAUAGAUAUAUAGAAAAUCCAUGUAUCCAUAUUGGAGACUUCUCAACUAGCUUUCAUUAGGGUAAAUAACCCUUUCUCAAAGCAACAGGUCCCUUAACUAGGCUUAUCAAAUGACUUUUCAAGACAGCUUCAAGAGCCUUGUCUUGCUGUGUCCACAAAUUUGAAAUAAUUAUGUUACGAACUUUGCCCAAACCCAAUCAGACCUUGUGUUGAAAGAAGUGCCUUAAACCAGUCCCCCUGAAUCUCCUAAAUGUUCCAACUUUGCCUUUCCACUCUGAGAUGCUACUAAGAUUCCAACAAGGUUGUGCUUCUUCUUAUCACUGGAGCAAUGAACUUAAAGUUGGCAGAUGAUGGUGCUGUGAAGAAGUGGACUACAAUUCUAGGAAACCGUAUGACAGAGAGUAGAGACCAAAACUGGAAGUUUCCCUGGAGAAGAAGAAUGCCUGAGCUGAGUUCUAGAUGGUGGCUUUCACCUUACCUUAAUUCAGAGCCGGGGCCACAUAUCAGAGGCUUUUGUCUUUGCCCCCUGAUCCUUGGCAGACAUCAUUAAUCAAUCACAGUGCUCUUAGCUGAUGACUCUGGAUGUAGCCUCACCAUCCUUCUCUACCCUGAAGUCCAAGAAACUGAGAGAAUAGGUCUGAAACCUAGUUGCUGUCUUUGAAUUAGUCAUUUUAUCGGGAGUGCAGCCAGGUAAAUAUUCAGUUCACAGGAAAGCAAUAGAAAAUUGUUCAGAGUUGUCUACUUCUGGGAAAGAGAAGAACAUUCUUGCUAAUUUGGGGG